rnacentral:rRNA from 1 species
UACGGAGGGUGCAAGCGUUAUCCGGAAUCACUGGGCGUAAAGGGUGCGUAGGCGGGUCUUUAAGUCAGGGGUGAAAUCCUGGAGCUCAACUCCAGAACUGCCUUUGAUACUGAAGAUCUUGAGUUCGGGAGAGGUGAGUGGAACUGCGAGUGUAGAGGUGAAAUUCGUAGAUAUUCGCAAGAACACCAGUGGCGAGGGCGGCUCACUGGCCCGAUACUGACGCUGAGGCACGAAAGCGUGGGGAGCAAACAGG